GUCCGCCAGAAAAUUACGAGCGAAAGCCUAAAACUCAAAAGACUUGACGGUGUCCCAACCUACCUAGAGGAGCCUGUUCCAUAAUCGACAACCCACGAUACACCUAACCACCUUUAGAUAUUACAGCCUAUAUACCGCCGUCGCACAGCCUACCUUUCAAAAGAACACAAGUAGGCUAAAUAGUAAAAUACUAAUAAGUCAGGUCAAGGUGUAGCUUAUAGGGUGGAGGAAAUGGGCUACAUUAUUUAUAUUAAAUAAUACGAACUAAUCUACUGAAAAAGAAAAUGAAGGCGGAUUUAGCAGUAAUUUAAACAAGAAUAUUUAAAUUAA
rnacentral:rRNA from 1 species